GAUGAACGCUGGCGGCGUGCCUAAUACAUGCAAGUCGAGCGAACAGACGAGGAGCUUGCUCCUGGGACGUUAGCGGCGGACGGGUGAGUAACACGUGGAUAACCUACCUAUAAGACUGGGAUAACGUCGGGAAACCGGAGCUAAUACCGGAUAAUAUAUUGAACCGCAUGGUUCAAUAGUGAAAGACGGUUUUGCUGUCACUUAUAGGUGGAUCCGCGCCGCAUUAGCUAGUUGGUAAGGUAACGGCUUACCAAGGCUACGAUGCGUAGCCGACCUGAGAGGGUGACCGGCCACACUGGAACUGAGACACGGUCCAGACUCCUACGGGAGGCAGCAGUAGGGAAUCUUCCGCAAUGGGCGCAAGCCUGACGGAGCAACGCCGCGUGAGUGAUGAAGGUCUUCGGAUCGUAAACCUCUGUUAUUAGGGAAGAACAAAUGUGUAAGAAACUAUGCACGUGUUGACGGUACCUAAUCAGAAAGCAACGGCUAACUACGUG
rnacentral:rRNA from 1 species